rnacentral:rRNA from 1 species
GACGAACGCUGGCGGCGUGCUUAACACAUGCAAGUCGAACGGAAAGGCCCUGCUUUUUUGGGGUGCUCGAGUGGCGAACGGGUGAGUAACACGUGAGUAACCUGCCCUUGACUUUGGGAUAACUUCAGGAAACUGGGGCUAAUACCGGAUAGGAGCUCCUGCUGCAUGGUGGGGGGUGGAAAGUUUCGGCGGUUGGGGAUGGACUCGCGGCUUAUCAGCUUGUUGGUGGGGUAGUGGCUUACCAAGGCUUUGACGGGUAGCCGGCCUGAGAGGGUGACCGGCCACAUUGGGACUGAGAUACGGCCCAGACUCCUACGGGAGGCAGCAGUGGGGAAUAUUGCACAAUGGGCGGAAGCCUGAUGCAGCAACGCCGCGUGCGGGAUGACGGCCUUCGGGUUGUAAACCGCUUUCGCCUGUGACGAAGCGUGAGUGACGGUAAUGGGGAAAGAAGCACCGGCUAACUACGU